CAUUCCUCUAAGCUGCCCAGCUCCCCUUUCUUUCUAACUAACUCCGCUGGGCUACAGAGUUGUCUUCACCCUGCUUCCUGCUCAUCACUUCAGCAGCAUCUUCACUAACACACCAAACUUCCUUUCUCUUGUCUUCCCAGCUUCCUUGUGGAGUCCUUCUAAACGCAGUGUCUAAUCUGCUUCCUCACAAGUCUCAAGAUCUCCAAAUCUCGCUCUAUUCUUUAGCUUGAGCUCCUUGCCCACUAGGGGCCAGCUGGAACAAUAAGACUCAGGACAAUGAGCUUUCUGUUGUUAGCAGGUCGGGGCCCCCUUGAUGCCAAAGAGACUUGCUUGGAAGAAGAGGGCAAAGGACACCACUGCGACCUUCACAGAAGGCUUAGCUUGGAAUGCAGAAGAAUGGACUCUCCUUCCCAACUCUCCUCUAAAUCCUCCACAGAUCUACCCGAUGAACCAAAGACUUCUCUCUAAGCCGAGGGCUCUUCACCUCUGUGUGUGUGUGUGUGUGUCAUGGAACCCAUAGGCAGUCUGGUGAAGUCUCCGGUUCCAGUAAAUCGAAAAUCUCCUCCUUAACAACAACCUUAAAGAUGGAAGUUCCACCAACAAUCCUGAAGAGAGGAUGAAAAUGGAUUAUCUAUCGGGAAUUUCCUUCCCCUAAGAGUCAGUCUUCCUUGCUAUCACUGAAGAAGAGCGAAAGAACCAACAUUUUACAGAACUGAGGACCAAUGAGGCUAAAUGACUGAGAGAGAGAAAGAACAAGUUCUAAGAAAAAAGCGUUGCCUCCCUCUCCCAAUAGGGAGUGAUACAAGAAGAAAUGACAAGAUUCUCCACCUUUUUUGUGUGUUAUGGACACCUUGGGCAGUCUGGUGAAGUCUCCGGUUCUAGAAAAUCGAAAAUCUCCUCCUUAACAACAACUUUAAAGAUGGGAGUUCCACUAUCGUUCCUGAAGGGAGGAUGAAUAUGCAUUGUUGUUCAGUUGUGUUCAAUUCUCCAUGACCCCAUUUGGGAGUUUCUUGAUACUGGAGUGAGUUGCCAUUUCCUUCCCCAGCUCAUUUGACAAAUGAGGAAACGGAGGCAAACAACGUUUGCCUAGGGUCUUACAGCUAGUGUCCGAGGCCAGAUCUGAACUCAUGAAGAUGAGUCUUACUGAUUCCAAGGCCAGUGCUCUAUCUACUACCUAGCUGCCACCAUAAAAACAAAUGCAUUCUCUCUCCCAGCCCUUCCUUCCCUCCAAGUAUCCCCCAUGCUGCCACUGCAGAAAAGUAAAAGAACCAGUGUUGUACAGAAUGGCAAGUCAAGGCCCAAGGAAGCUAAAGAGAACAGCAAAGGGCUCCUGUAGAAGGCGAGAGUACAGUUGAAUCUUCAAGAAAGGCAGGAAGUAGGGGCUAGCAAUGGAUUCUGGGAGUAAAUAGUUGGGAGUGUUGUGUGUGAGGAGCAGCCAGGAGGCAUGGGCUGUUGCAUUGUAGAGGGUGUGGAAAGGCCCAAAUACUAAAGGGUUCCACAGAUGGAUACUGGGGAAUGUUUAACAGCUAGCUCUCUGAAAAGGAAAACAGGUACAUGUGACAUACUUUACAUUUUAAUCUGCAGGGGCAGCUACUGCAGGGGCAGCCACUGCAAGUGACUCAGUGAAUAGAGCCCCAGGUUUGGAGAUGGGAGGUCCUGGGUUCAAAUGCGGCCUCAGACACUUCCUAGCUGUGUGACUCUGGGCAAGUCACUUAACCCUCAUUGCUUAAACUUCAUAGUUUAAUAAUUGAAUCUGCAUUAUUGUGACACUUUCUUCAUCACUUUUCUUAAGUUCACACAUUCAAUAAACCAAGAAAUCAAGCCCA
rnacentral:lncRNA from 1 species